AGUGAACGCUGGCGGUAGGCCUAACACAUGCAUGUCGAACGGCAGCACAGUAAGAGCUUGCUCUUACGGGUGGCGAGUGGCGGACGGGUGAGGAAUACAUCGGAAUCUACUUUUUCGUGGGGGAUAACGUAGGGAAACUUACGCUAAUACCGCAUACGACCUACGGGUGAAAGCAGGGGAUCUUCGGACCUUGCGCGAUUGAAUGAGCCGAUGUCGGAUUAGCUAGUUGGCGGGGUAAAGGCCCACCAAGGCGACGAUCCGUAGCUGGUCUGAGAGGAUGAUCAGCCACACUGGAACUGAGACACGGUCCAGACUCCUACGGGAGGCAGCAGUGGGGAAUAUUGGACAAUGGGCGCAAGCCUGAUCCAGCCAUACCGCGUGGGUGAAGAAGGCCUUCGGGUUGUAAAGCCCUUUUGUUGGGAAAGAAAAGCAGCAGGUUAAUACCCCGCUGUUCUGACGGUACCCAAAGAAUAAGCACCGGCUAAUUUCGUG
rnacentral:rRNA from 1 species